CAGGAGCUCAGUCCGGGGUUCCUGGCUCCCUAGUGACAGCGGAGACAGGAAGCAGUCAGGCAUCCCCCAACCCCAAGCGCUAGGCCUGCCCUUGGAGGGGUGCACUGGACACUUUCCCGCGUAACUCCCAUCUCUGACCCCAUGGCAAAGUCCCCAGGGAACUCUACCCUGGAGGACAGUCUGGGGCAAUACCAACGGAGUCUCCGGGAGCGUGCCGAUAGAAGCCUUCACCAGUUGAAAUGUGCCCUGAGAGAGAGAGAAAUGUGUGUGGAAGAAGAGGCACUGGAUCCUCCCACCAGCAUCAACGUAGAAAAUGAGGACUCAGGGGUGGCCUGGUAUGAACUGCAGCACAGCCAUGCUGUCAAUCAGCUCAAAGCUUUGUUGCGCCAACAAGCAAGUAAGGACAAUGAGAUGUCUCCACCACGAAGACGAAAGAUGUCCCCUUCGCGGCCAUCGGAAUGUGAGGACAGUAGCAUGCCUUCUCUGCACAACCUCGUUCCUAUCAUUAACGACCAGUCUCAGUACAUCCACCAUUUAGAAGCAGAAGUUAAGUUCUGCAAGGAUGAACUAGCUGGAAUGAAAAAUAGGGUACAAGUAGUUGUACUUGAGAAUGAAAGGCUCCAGCAAGAACUGAAAUCUCAAAGACAGGAGGAGACCCUGAGGGAGCAGACACUUCUGGAUGCAUCUGGAAACAUUCAGGAUUCUUGGAUUAAGACAGGAGAAGAUUCCAGGGUGGAUGAAGCUGCAAAGAGACCAUUUUCUCACGGUGAUGCUGAAACCGGCAAAACUACAUCCUUCAGCGAUGCUGAAAAGUGGAAGCUAGAGCUGGAGAGGCUGAAACUUACAUAUGAGGCGAAGAGCGACCUUCUGGAGUCUCAGUUGACGCUUCUGAGGAAAGACUUAGUUGAAUAUCAGAAAACCUGUGAGGAUCUUAGGGAAAGAUUGAAGCAUAAAGAAUCUCUUCUGGCUGCUAGUGCCUCCAGCCGUGUGGGUGGCCUCUGUUUGAAAUGUGCUCAGCACGAGGCCGUCCUUUCCCAGACCCACAGCAAUGUGCACAUCCAGACCAUCGAGACACUGACCAAAGAGAGGGAUGACUUAAUGUCUGCGCUAGUUUCUGUGCGGAGCAGCUUGGCAGAAGUGCAGCAGAGAGAGACGAGUGCCUACAAACAGGUGAAGCAGGCUGUGCAGAUGACCGAGGAGGCCAGCUUUGAAAAGACCAAGGCUCUGAUCCAGUGUGAGCAGCUGAAGAGUGAGCUGGAGAGGCAGACAGAAAGACUGGAAAAAGAACUUGCCGCUCAGCUAGAGAAACGGGCUUUUGAGAAGGAGAUGAUAAAGAAAGAAGUAGCCAAGGAGAGGGAGGAUGCAGAGUCAAAGAUAUUGAUCCUAUCUCAGAACAUUGCUAAGCUGGAGGCCCAGGUGGAAACGGUGACUAGGGAGAAGGUUUCGGCUGUCAGCCAACUGGAGGACGUUCAGAGCCGGCUUGCUUCUCAGGAAGCGGAUGUCUCAAAGGUGUGUGGAGAAAUGCGUUUUCAGUUGAAUAAAACGAAAAUGGAGAAGGAUGAGGCAGAAAAGGAGCACAGAGAAUACAAAGCAAAAUCUCAAAGGGAUCUUGAAAUUAAAGAUGAGGAAAUAGAGAAAUUGAGACUAGAACUGAGCGAAAGCAGGCAGCAUGUGGAACAGGAGCAGCAGAAGGCAGCUCGGGCCAGACAGGAGUGCCUGCAAGUCACAGAGCUGCUGGGCGAGUCUGAGCGCCAACUGCACCUCACCAGACUGGAAAAAGAUAGCAUUCAGCAAAGCUUUAGCAACGAAGCAAAGGCCCAAGCCCUUCAGGCCCAGCAGAGAGAGCAGGAGCUGACACAGAAGAUACAGCAAAUGGAGGCCCAGCACGACAAAACUGAAAAUGAGCAGUAUUCGUUGCUGACCUCCCAGAAUGCAUUUCUGACAAAGUUAAAAGAGGAGUGCUGCACGCUAGCCAGGAAGCUGGAGAAAAUCUCGCAGAAGAGCAGAUUGGAAAUAGUUCGACUCAGCCAAGAAAAAAGAUACAUGUGUGACAAACUGGAGAAGUUACAGAAGAGAAAUGAUGAACUGGAGGAGCAGUGCGUCCAGCACGGGAAGGUGCAUGAGACGAUGAAGGAAAGACUCAGGCAGCUGGAUAAGCACGGCCAGGCCACAGCCCAGCAGCUGGUGCAGUUGCUCAACAAGCAGAAUCAGCUUCUCCUGGAGCGACAGAACCUGUCAGAGGAGGUGGACCGUCUGCGAGCCCAGAUAGGGAAACUGAGGCUCAAACAAGCAUAUUCAGCUAGCAAAUAGGGGCACAACAAAUGGAACCUAUGUCUGACUCCAAAGCCCAAGCUGUCCCCAUUCAGUUAGAUAAUGGCGGAAAAGUCCAGUUACCCAGCAUGCCACAAUCUGAUUGCUGACCUGGAUGAAACAGAGUGAAAUAAAUGAUUUACAAAGAGAUAUGUACAUUCAUCUGA